CUUGUCACCAGCCAGCCCUGCUCCUGGUGUCACAGCCCGCACGGGGUGCUGGGUGUCCCUGGCCCGUGGCAGGCAGGGCAGCAGGAACAGGCAGGGUGUGUGCCCGCUGCCUGCAGUGCCACAGGAGAAGUGGGGUUUAGUCCAAACAAAGAGGUGUUUUCAGAAGGCUGAAAUUAAUAACACAAACCCUAAUUUAAAAUUAUAUUAGGCUAUCAAUUACUCCCCAAGCAUCCAAGAGCUCCGCUGCCAGCUUCAAAUUGCCAGCUGUGAUAAAUGGUUUUAUUGGAAUUUCAUAAGGUCUGAAUUAUUUGCAGACUGGAAAUUUUCAUAGAUUAAUUAAAAUUUUGUAACAAGCUGAAGUGGUUUGUGGCAAUCCCCGUCAUGACUGGCCUAGGGCAGUGUUGGGACUCUCAUUUCCCCAGAUUGUCCCCAGGGACCACCAUGGCAGGGGUGGCCUUGCUGGUGCCAUGGGAGCAUUGCAAGGAAAAAUCCUGUGUGUUUGGCAAAUUGGAAGAGACAAUUAUCAAAACUUGAAUGGCUGGAUAAUUGCAAUGUGUUUGGCUUGAGCCAGGACUAUCCAGCCUCAUUUCUUGUAUUAGAGUUCUUCUAAUACUUCAGUAAAGAGUGAGUAGAGGGAAAACCACUCAACAGUUUAUUCAGAUUUUCAAAAAGCCUUUUGACAAGAUCCAGCACAGGAGGUUACUAUAGAAAUUAAGUUGUCGUGGAGUGAGAGGCAAAGUAUUGCCAUGGAUCAAAGGCUCACCAAGAGAGAGAAAACAGAGGAGGAAUAAACGGGCAGUUGUCAUCCCAGCACCGGGCAGCCGCGGAGGCUUGCAGGCUCUGCCAUGGCCCUGUGGCACUUAACAUAUCUGUGGGGUGUCUGGGGAGAAGAAGCAGCACUUUGAGAGACACGAUGGGGAAGCUCUAGGAGGGUUUGAGGCUGUUGCAUGUGGGAGGUGUGAUGUGGGCAGGCAGGUCAUGGCAGCACUGCUGGGCUGAGCUGCAGCCCUCGAUGCCCUCCCUGCCCAGCCGUGCUGCUGCUUGGGGCACAGCCAUCCAGCUCCUGGGCUGCUGACAGGACACACUCCCAGGCCUGGUAAUUUCCUGGGGACAUGGUCAAGGGUCAGUUUAACGAGCAGGCAGGCUGGCAGUGCCAUGUCUUGUCCCCGGAAUUACCCUCUGCCCUGUCCAGCAGGGAGAGGCUCGGCACCCAGAGCUGCUGCCCAUGGAUCAGAGCCCCCAGGCUCAGGGCACACCUCUGUCUGUGAAGGGGACACACCUAGGGAUGAGCCCCAGCUCCUCUACAGGACCCUUUUGCACGUGUGGCUCCCAGAUAAGAGGAGCAAAGGGAGAUUUACACCCUGACAGGCAAAGCCAAGCCACACAGGCAAGAACAUGAUGGGUGACUGAGUCACAUACACCCCCAGAUGAGGUGUCCAAAGAGGUGCAUACAGGGGGAGAGGUCAGGUGUGCUCUGGGGGGUGCCUAGCCCUCCCACCCCAUGCAGACAGAAGUUCAAUAGGGCUUGGGCACAGGGCUGCCCCCUCCCACCUCCCGUUCCCGCAGGCAGCCCUGGCAACCAAAGACCGUGCAGGGUAAGCACUGGCGCCGAGCUGCAGCUUCUCCCCCGCCGAGGAGAACCUGUUCAGCAGGAAAGGGGCCCCACAGUGCCUAUGUGCAGAUAAGGGAGGGAAUGUAAACACCCUCCCAGCUCGGGCAUCCCAGCUAUCUGAAGUAGCAAAUGCCUCCAGAGCAAAUUCCUCCCGCUCUGCCUCCUGCAUCAACUGUGGGGGCCUCAAGAUCUGCAGGGACAAGUCCCCCUAUUGCUGUCCUGCAGCUCCCCGUUUUCAUUCACUCCACACACGUGUUUUUCCCUUUCCCCUCUAUCUGACACUUCCCUGGACCACCCCACACCAUCACCCCAUCUCUCUGGGAGGAUGAAGGGUGGUGGUGGUCCCCCCCUGCUCUGGCAGCCUCAGCCUCCUCCUCAGACCGGUUUUGCCAGAUGAAAUAUCUCUGCCAUGCGACCCUGCCAGCAGUCAAAGAGCAUUUCUCACUGAUUUCAGCAUUUCUCACCAAUUUCGGCAGCUGGGGAACAACCAUGGCUGAGGAAACAGAUGCCUUGGAAGAGGCUUGGUGUGUUUCAGGGCACCCCAGUAUGGGGCACUCAGUGUCGCUGCCUGGUGCUUUGGCUGAUAUUAGACAAUAAAACCCUCCUCCUCCCUUCUGAAAUUAGUAAAUGCAGCUGCUGUUUGCUCCCUUCCUGCAUUUUGUGGGCUGGAGCAGCCCUGUUUUGACCCUGGGGGAUGCUGCAGGGUGUUGGGAUGAGCCACCGGUGCCCAGUGCUUCCUUUCUCACCUGUCUGUGGGCUCGGUGUCCCUCCUGUCCCCCUCAGCAUCAGCUGCAGAUGCUCAGGCUGCUGCCUUGUGAUCGUGAGCAGGGGCCGGUGCUCGGCAGGGGCGGAUGCAGGCAGGGACCACGGCAGCAGGCUGCAAGCCGGCAGCACUGGGAGAAGCAAAAUGCACCCGGGGACAGGCGUGGCAGAGCCCCCGGGAAGCAGAGAGGAGAGGGCACUUGAAGGGAUGCGGGGCCACAGAAGCCAGGACUGCUCGAGCUCACAUCACAGCAUCCCAGAAUGCUGCAUCUGCAGUGAGAGACUCCCAGAGAACCUGUUGAUAUGGCAACCCUGCACGGGAGAGAGCCCGUCCUGCUCGCCUCUGCAUCCCCUCCCGGUCCCCUCCACACCUGGCACACCCCGGAGCCCUGCAGUGUCCCCAGCCAGCCUGGUCCCUGGGGCCACACCUGGGCCACGGAACUCAUAGUUGAGGGGGUGAAAUACAGUCAAAUGAAACAAAAUGCUGCAGACAGUGGAAAAAUCAUCCCAGCAUUCUCAGACAAUGCAGGGCUUUCAAUUGCCUUUCGGGUGGGAGACCCCGAUGUCCCUGUGGGCUCCCCUCUCUGCAGUGCCAGUGAUGCUCACAAAAACCUACGAGGAGAGAGAUGGAUGGAUACUGGAAAGAGAACAGAAACCACUUCAAAAAGGGGUGCAGCAGAGCCAUGGGAUGAGCAGUGCAGCUGUUGGCUACCCUGGCUCAGUCAGGGACUGAGCACCAUCCAGGUGGGGUGACAAGCUCUGAGGUUUGGUUGAGAAGAAAUUCAAUAGCCUGGAAGUCCUCAAUAUCCACCGUGUCCCUCAAAACAAGGAGACUCCUAAAUUAGUUGGCUUGGCAUUUUUAAAAUCGAGGAGAUACUUUCUCCUGACACAGAUUUAAACAGCAGACUCAUGGGUCUGGCGGGUGCAGAAGGGGAUCAGUCUCCACCUUCCCUGUGUUGGCCCUUUUUCUGUGUGUGGCAGCACUGGCAAUGCUCACUGGCUUCACCCAGCCCCAUUUGGCUGCUUUCCCUUCCACACUCAUCCACAUAUCCUGGACCCAGUUACAGGUCAGCCCUUUUCCCAGGGCUACCUAUGUGAUAUGGGCACUGUGGGGCAGAGCUUCUUCCAUUCCCCCACUUGUCUUUGGAAAGGUGAGAGUUCCUGACUGUGAAAUGACACUGGAAAAUCUCCCCUGGCCCACUCUGACAGUGUUUGGGGGUUCUGGGAAGGCACAAGCAUCCCCACAGCACCCACCACUGAUAUUUGGGAACAUUCACAGGGUGUCAAAGAAGUAAGUGACAAACAUUGCCAACCACAUCAGACGUGAAUUUUUCAGCUGCCAGCACUGAUGCUGGAGGGGUCUGGGUGCUCAGGUGCAGGGGGACAGCCUGGUGGCACCACCAGCUCUCAGGCUGGCCAUUGGAAAAGGUGGGAGUCACUGGUGGCCAUGGAUUCUGUUUCUUUAAAAUCAAAUGGUGCUUAAAAUUAAAUCUCUUUGCUGGUGACUGAAAUUUGAUGGAUGAAAGGCAUUUCUCCACAUUUCCAAGUGAUUUUUAGGAGGCAGCUCUGCCACUGGCCUCCUCACCCUCACCAUGUGUCAGCCUCAAACAUGGUGCUGGCCAAGCUGCCUUCAGGGAUGCACAGAGUACCCUCACUGUGACCCCUGGGAACGGUGAGCACAGACAGCAAGGAAAGAAUUGCUAUGAGAUGUAAUUAAGCCAGACAAGGAGCAAUUUCUCACUGCAGAGCUGCGGUGGGCUGCUUUAGAAUGUGAUUCAGAUCCACUUCAAGAGCUGCUGAGCCUUUAAUCCCACCUGCUAAUCCCCUACCUGAACCUUUACCUUCAUUUUCCAGGGACUUUGGUGCCUUAUCGCAGCAGGGUGGUCUCUUCAGAGGGACCCCCUGAAGGCUGGUGCCUCCAGCAAUCCUUUUUGUUAGGGCCAUAGCCGGUAUUGACACCAUUGCAGAUGUUUCUCUCUGGCAUGGGGGACAGGGCUGUGUGCCCAAGUCCCAGCACAGCCCCAGCGUCUGCAGCGAUGCUUGAGCUGCGGCCAGAGGCUUUCCCUCCCCAUGGACUUGUUUUCUGCCUCCCCAUGACCUGCUGUGCUCAGUGUUACACCCAACCCCAGACAUGUCCUGGCAGCUGGAGAGCACUCAAGGAGCCACACUCAUGGAUGCAUCCCCCAUGUGUGGCUCUGCAAAGCCAGUGCAUUGGUGCUGAUCCAGCACAUCAUAGCCCCAGCACAGGGACUGCUGGCCCGUGCCAGAGGGCUUCUCCCAGCUGGAAAAACAAAUUUGGAUGAAAUGUAGGAUGGCUCCUUGCCAAAAACCCCAGCAGAAAGGUUGGUUGGUGGAGCCCAGCUUGGUUUGGCCUUGACCAAGGCAUCGGGGCCACAGAGAAUGUGGCUCCUCAAGAGCCAUCCCAGGGGUGAAGCUGUGACCCUGCACAGCGCCUGGAGGCAGGACGUGGGGUGAGGCUUGCAGGCAGCAGGGCUCUGGCACAGCCCUCGGGAGGGGAUGGCACCGCAGGGAUGACCUUCAGGAGCCCUGGCAGGAUCAGCUGGCAGCCCUGCUGUGGGAGGCAGAGUGAGGAGGCCACUGGGAGUGUCAGAUGUCUGCGAUGCCAUUACACACCGGACGCCUGUCUCCUCACCUGGUUAAUUAUUAACCGAGGAGUCUGUGCUGCUGCUCAGGGGGACUCAGCCAGCCCAGCCCGGUACCCCCGCUCCGCGCAGCGACCGCUGCCAGAAUCAUCCUCCAACCCAAGCACAGCCCUUCCUGCAGCAGCCCCCACUGACUGUGACAUAGCAGCAAGGCAGCCCUUGGAGCAGGGAAUCCCACAUCCCACAGAAUUGCUGUGCCACCAGCCAGGGACAACACACGUUCACAAUAACGCCUCUCUUUUCUCCCCUGCAGACUUGUGCCUUUUUUCUCUUCUUCUCUCCUCCUGGCUUUGCCAUAUGCAAUAAGGAGUAAAUAAAGAACACUGAUGAAAAGAAAAAAAAAAACCAAAAACAACAAAACAAAACAAAAAAGAAAAGAUCAAGGGAAUCCUUUCCCUGCGAUCUCACUCACACCAGCCCCGGGGCUGUGGUGUUCCCUGAACGUGUGGUUUGCAGGGCUGAGGGACUGCCUGCUCUAAGCCCUUGAUACUGCAGCCAGGAGGAACCAGAGAGAGCCAGGAAAGCAGCAUCAAGCCCAGCUGGUGUGACAGCAUGGGGAUGCCACUCCAGGCCAGAUGGGAGCUAGAGGAGAGGGGUGACUUGAAGAGGCACAAGAGGUGCAUGCAAGCGAAGGCAACUGGGAACAAAGACUGCAGCCUUUAUCUCCAGGAUGGGCUUGGAAAGCUGUGACAGAAGGCAGCUCAGGAAUGAUUUCAGUUCAGCAGUCUCCAUCUCAGAGAGGAGCAGCAAGAUCUGAAGGCUGAAGCACCAGUUAAGAAAAAUUCAGUCUGGGAAGGAAAAACAAGAUGCUAGCAGGAGGGCAGGAGAUGUUGGAUCAGCUACCCAGAAGGCAGCAGUUUUACCUAUUUUACAACCAAUU